rnacentral:rRNA from 1 species
UACGAAGGGGGCUAGCGUUGUUCGGAAUUACUGGGCGUAAAGGGCGCGUAGGCGGUACUUCAAGUCAGGCGUGAAAGCCCCGGGCUCAACUCGGGAACUGCGCUUGAUACUGUCGAGCUAGAGUGUGGAAGGGGCGAUUGGAAUUCCGUGUGUAGCGGUGAAAUGCGUAGAUAUACGGAGGAACACCAGAGGCGAAGGCGGAUCGCUGGGCCAACACUGACGCUGAGACGCGAAAGCGUGGGGAGCAAACAGG